AUUGAACGCUGGCGGCAUGCUUUACACAUGCAAGUCGAACGGCAGCGCGGGGCAACCUGGCGGCGAGUGGCGAACGGGUGCGUAAUAUAUCGGAACGUACCCAGAAGUUGGGGGUAACGUAGCGCAAGUUACGCUAAUAGCGCAUACGAUCUACGGUGGAAAGUAGGGGACCGCAAGGCCUUAUGCUUUUCUUGCUGCCGCUAUCUGAUUAGCUAGUUGGCGAGGUAAAGGCUCACCAAGGCGACGAUCAGUAGCUGGUCUGAGAGGACGACCAGCCACACUGGAACUGAGACACGGUCCAGACUCCUACGGGAGGCAGCAGUGGGGAAUUUUGGACAAUGGGCGCAAGCCUGAUCCAGCAAUGCCGCGUGAGUGAAGAAGGUCUUCGGGUUGUAAAGCUCUUUUGUCAGGGAAGAAACGGUAGAGGCUAAUAUCCUUUGCUAAUGACGGUACCUGAAGAAUAAGCACCGGCUAACUACGUG
rnacentral:rRNA from 1 species